UGGCUCAGUGGUAAAGCGCUUGCCUUGCAUGCAUGAGGCCCUGGGUUCAAUUCCCCAG
rnacentral:tRNA from 1 species